rnacentral:rRNA from 1 species
GCUCAGGACGAACGCUGGCGGCGUGCCUAAUACAUGCAAGUUGAGCGCUGAAAGUUGGUACUUGUACCGACUGGAUGAGCAGCGAACGGGUGAGUAACGCGUGGGGAAUCUGCCUUUGAGCGGGGGACAACAUUUGGAAACGAAUGCUAAUACCGCAUAAAAACUUUAAACACAAGUUUUAAGUUUGAAAGAUGCAAUUGCAUCACUCAAAGAUGAUCCCGCGUUGUAUUAGCUAGUUGGUGAGGUAAAGGCUCACCAAGGCGAUGAUACAUAGCCGACCUGAGAGGGUGAUCGGCCACAUUGGGACUGAGACACGGCCCAAACUCCUACGGGAGGCAGCAGUAGGGAAUCUUCGGCAAUGGACGAAAGUCUGACCGAGCAACGCCGCGUGAGUGAAGAAGGUUUUCGGAUCGUAAAACUCUGUUGGUAGAGAAGAACGUUGGUGAGAGUGGAAAGCUCAUCAAGUGACGGUAACUACCCAGAAAGGGACGGCUAACUACGUGCCAGCAGCCGCGGUAAUACGUAGGUCCCGAGCGUUGUCCGGAUUUAUUGGGCGUAAAGCGAGCGCAGGUGGUUUAUUAAGUCUGGUGUAAAAGGCAGUGGCUCAACCAUUGUAUGCAUUGGAAACUGGUAGACUUGAGUGCAGGAGAGGAGAGUGGAAUUCCAUGUGUAGCGGUGAAAUGCGUAGAUAUAUGGAGGAACACCGGUGGCGAAAGCGGCUCUCUGGCCUGUAACUGACACUGAGGCUCGAAAGCGUGGGGAGCAAACAGGAUUAGAUACCCUGGUAGUCCACGCCGUAAACGAUGAGUGCUAGGUGUAGGGAGCUAUAAGUUCUCUGUAUCGCA